GGUGUGCUGGCGCAAUGGCAGCGCGUUGCUUUCCGGUGGCAAAGGCUCCAGGUUCGAGUCCUGGGUACAUCG
rfam:Fusarium oxysporum f. sp. cubense race 1 unplaced genomic scaffold scaffold515, whole genome shotgun sequence.